CGGAACUGUGGAGCGCAGGGACUGGUCUGGGGCCUCCAAGGUUUCAGGUUUUCUAAAAGCACUUGGCUUAUCCAAGAGUAGACUUCCGUAAGCCCCAAAGCCUGGGGACAGCUGCACAUUCACUAAGAGCCGAAAGAAGUGCCUCGGGCCAGGGAAACUUUCCAGCCACGACCCGAGGACAAGGCGACUCUUACACAGCCCUCCCACACUGGGAGACCUCCAGAAAGCGCCUCGCCGUGUCCACCUCCAAACCACCAGUCACGUGCG
ensembl:lncRNA